GUACAAGGUUUUCUUCAGAUCACACAAAUCUUUUGCCCUUUACUAAAGAUUUCCGUGGAGAGGAAUACAUUGAGAUAAUUCCGAAUUUUUUGCUGCUUUGAUCCAUCAGAGCA